rnacentral:rRNA from 1 species
CAGCAGCCGCGGUAAUACGGAGGGUGCAAGCGUUAAUCGGAAUUACUGGGCGUAAAGCGUGCGUAGGCGGUUCGUUAAGUCUGUUGUGAAAGCCCCGGGCUCAACCUGGGAAUGGCAAUGGAUACUGGCGAGCUAGAGUGUGUCAGAGGAUGGUGGAAUUCCCGGUGUAGCGGUGAAAUGCGUAGAGAUCGGGAGGAACAUCAGUGGCGAAGGCGGCCAUCUGGGGCAACACUGACGCUGAGGCACGAAAGCGUGGGGAGCAAACAGGAUUAGAUACCCCUGUAGUCCCUGUCUCUUAUAC